CGACGUUGAUAGGCCGGGUGUGUAAGCGCAGCGAUGCGUUGAGCUAACCGGUACUAAUGAACCGUGAGGCUUAACCUUACAACGCCGAAGGGGUUUUG
rnacentral:rRNA from 1 species